rnacentral:rRNA from 1 species
GCUGAAGCCAGUCGAAGAUACCAGCUGGCUGCAACUGUUUAUUAAAAACACAGCACUGUGCAAACACGAAAGUGGACGUAUACGGUGUGACGCCUGCCCGGUGCUGGAAGGUUAAUUGAUGGGGUCAGCCGUAAGGCGAAGCUCCUGAUCGAAGCCCCAGUAAACGGCGGCCGUAACUAUAACGGUCCUAAGGUAGCGAAAUUCCUUGUCGGGUAAGUUCCGACCUGCACGAAUGGCGUAAUGAUGGCCAGGCUGUCUCCACCCGAGACUCAGUGAAAUUGAACUCGCUGUGAAGAUGCAGUGUACCCGCGGCAAGACGGAAAGACCCCGUGAACCUUUACUAUAGCUUGACACUGAACAUUGAGCCUUGAUGUGUAGGAUAGGUGGGAGGCUUUGAAGUGUGGACGCCAGUCUGCAUGGAGCCAACCUUGAAAUACCACCCUUUAACGUUUGAUGUUCUAACCUAGGCCCAUAAACUGGGUCGGGGACCGUGUCUGGUGGGUAGUUUGACUGGGGCGGUCUCCUCCUAAAGAGUAACGGAGGAGCACGAAGGUUGGCUAAGCAUGGUCGGACAUCAUGCGGUUAGUGCAAAGGCAUAAGCCAGCUUGACUGCGAGAGUGACGGCUCGAGCAGGUACGAAAGUAGGUCUUAGUGAUCCGGUGGUUCUGAAUGGAAGGGCCAUCGCUCAACGGAUAAAAGGUACUCCGGGGAUAACAGGCUGAUACCGCCCAAGAGUUCAUAUCGACGGCGGUGUUUGGCACCUCGAUGUCGGCUCAUCACAUCCUGGGGCUGAAGUAGGUCCCAAGGGUAUGGCUGUUCGCCAUUUAAAGUGGUACGCGAGCUGGGUUUAGAACGUCGUGAGACAGUUCGGUCCCUAUCUGCCGUGGGCGUUGGAAGAUUGAGAGGGGUUGCUCCUAGUACGAGAGGACCGGAGUGAACGCACCACUGGUGUUCGGGUUGUCAUGCCAAUGGCAUUGCCCGGUAGCUAAGUGCGGAAGAGAUAACCGCUGAAAGCAUCUAAGCGGGAAACUUGCCUCGAGAUGAGUCUUCCCUGUCGCUUUAAGCGACCUAAAGGAACGUUUAAGACUAAGACGUUGAUAGGCUGGGUGUGUAAGCGUAGUGAUACGUUGAGCUAACCAGUACUAAUGAACCGUGAGGCUUAACCUGACAACACCGAAAGUGUUUUG